CAUAGAUUCCUAUAGAGACUCUUUGCCUGUCCUGUCCUGUUGUCAUCCAUAGUCCUCAUAGCCACUCGUUCAUUCAGACUGAGACAGGGACCAGAGGUUCAUCCUGGAGUCAGUGGAGCACACAGCAGCAGCACUGCUCAACCUCAGCGCCAACAUGUUGUAUCUGGAGACGGGGACGCCCACGUCGUACAGCGAGUCACAGUACACCAACCUGGGGCUGCUGAACAGCAUGGAUCAGAACAUCCAAAAUGGCGGCUCUACCUCCACCAGUCCCUACAACAACGACCAUGUCCAGAACAACGUGUCCGCUCCUUCACCCUACGCCCAGCCCAGCUCCACCUUCGACGCCAUGUCCCCCUCCCCGGCUAUCCCCUCCAACACAGACUACGCCGGGACACACAUCUUCGACGUCUCCUUCCAGCAGUCCUCCACAGCCAAGUCUGCCACCUGGACGUACUCUACAGAGCUGAAGAAGCUGUACUGUCAGAUCGCCAAGACGUGUCCCAUCCAGAUCAAGGUGCUGACCAACCCCCCGCAGGGCGCCGUCAUCAGAGCCAUGCCCGUUUACAAGAAGGCAGAGCACGUCACCGAGGUGGUCAAACGCUGCCCCAACCACGAGCUCAGCCGCGAGUUCAACGACGGUCAGAUAGCCCCUCCCAGUCACCUGAUCCGAGUGGAGGGUAACAGCCACUCCCAGUAUCUGGAGGACUCCAUCACGGGCCGUCAGAGUGUGCUGGUCCCCUACGAGCCCCCCCAGGUGGGCACAGAGUUCACCACCAUACUGUAUAACUUCAUGUGCAACUCCAGCUGCGUAGGAGGCAUGAACCGACGCCCUAUCCUCAUCAUCGUCACCCUGGAAGCCAGAGAUGGUCAGGUGCUGGGUCGGCGCUGCUUCGAGGCCAGGAUCUGUGCGUGUCCUGGCCGGGACCGCAAGGCGGACGAGGACAGCAUCCGCAAGCAGCACGUUACUGAUGGAACAAAGAGCAGUGAGGGUAUGAAACGCCCCUUCCACCAGGUCUCUCAUGGUAUCCAGAUGUCCUCCAUCAAGAAGAGAAGAUCCACAGAUGAGGAAGUGUUCUGUCUGCCUAUUAAAGGCCGUGAAAUCUAUGAGAUUUUGGUGAAAAUCAAAGAGUCUCUGGAACUCAUGCAGUUUCUGCCUCAGCACACUGUAGAGUCAUACAGGCAACAGCAGCAGAACCUUCUGCAGAAACAUCUGCUUAAAGCCCGGCUACGUUCAGAGCUCCUGGAACCCCUAGCGGCAGAGCAGAGGAGACGAUGCAGUACCUCCUGAGACUCACCUCAUCCUCACAUUCCUCCUCCCUUCAGUUUCCUCGCUCCUCAGCCACAAUCAGAUUAGGGGCUCCUCUAUCUUGCUCUCUCUCUCUCUCCCUCUUUCAGGGCUCUUUCUAAUAUUCUCUCUCCUCCCUCCCUCUAUUUCUACCUCUCUGUCUCUCCUUCCUUCUCUAAGAUUCUGCCGUUAUUGAAACUCUCACAUUCUCCAAACAGAGUUAAAUAAACAGAUAAACAGUCUGUUGGUGCUUCAUGUUCAUGAAAUAAAACAUUUUUUUUCCUAUUCAUUACUUAUGUGUAACACAUAAUAUGUUAAAAGUUGAGUCUGUCUGGCAAGUACUCUGCAUACCAGUCUACUGAUAAGAUGCAGUCACAUUAGAAAAGUCAGAUAUUAAGAAGUUUUGCAUGACAGAUUUUUACAUUUUUUUUAAAUAAGAAACUUUGUAGCUGUGUGGCAACACCAGUCGCAAACAGCAGAGGGCGCUUUUGAGUUAUUCAAAAUUCAGUUUGUUUCAUUAAAAUGUUUUACAUUGAGUCAUUUAGCAGACGCUCUUAUCCAGAGCGACUUACAGUAGUGAGUGUAUACAUUUUCAUUUUUUUUUCUCAUAUUGGUCCUACGCGGGAAUCGAACCCACAACCCUGGCGUUGCAACCGCCAUGCUCUACAGCCUGUGUCACACGGGAACCCUAUGGUCAGCGAUUAGGCUAUACAGCACAUAACCUAUAUCCUGUUUAAAGCACCAUUCAUGUCUUUGGUUGCUUUUUAAGAUUGUGUUGCUGAUGGUCAAAAUGACGCUAGUAAUUGAGUUAUGGAUACAGUCUACUUGUAUUGCAGUCAGAACACGUGCAUAGUAUCCCCCUCUCGGCUGACCUCUCCUCCUAUUGGCUGGGGCUGGUCAGGAACCAAGCACUAGUGUUUUUCUUACAAGACUUCACUUGUCUAUGGAUUGAGCUUUUGUUGUUUUGUCUUUGGAGCUGGACUCAAACCUAACGGUGUGUGCCCCAUGAUACCCUAUUCUCUAUAUAAUUACUAUUUUUAACCAGAGCCCCGUGGCAGUCCUAGGUAGAGCCCCGUGGCAGUCCUAGGUAGAGCCCCGUGGCAGUCCUAGGUAGAGCCCCGUGGCAGUCCUAGGUAGAGCCCCGUGGCAGUCCUAGGUAGAGCCCCGUGGCAGUCCUAGGUAGAGCCCCGUGGCAGUCCUAGGUAGAGCCCCGUGGCAGUCCUAGGUAGAGCCCCGUGGCAGUCCUAGGUAGAGCCCCGUGGCAGUCCUAGGUAGAGCCCUGUUGGCAGUCCUAGGUAGAGCCCUGUUGGCAGUCCUAGGUAGAGCCCUGUGGCAGUCCUAGGUAGAGCCCUGUUGGCAGUCCUAGGUAGAGCCCUGUUGGCAGUCCUAGGUAGAGCCCUGUGGCAGUCCUAGGUAGAGCCCUGUGGCAGUCCUAGGUAGAGCCCUGUUGGCAGUCCUAGGUUGGCAGUCCUAGGUAGAGCCCCGUGGCAGUCCUAGGUAGAGCCCCGUGGCAGUCCUAGGUAGAGCCCCGUGGCAGUCCUAGGUAGAGCCCCGUGGCAGUCCUAGGUAGAGCCCCGUGGCAGUCCUAGGUAGAGCCCCGUGGCAGUCCUAGGUAGAGCCCCGUGGCAGUCCUAGGUAGAGCCCCGUGGCAGUCCUAGGUAGAGCCCUGUGGAUCCUGGUCAAAAGUAGUUCAUAACAAAAGGAAUAGGGUGCCAUUUGGGACUCAGUAGUGUUAUGGGGAGAGGUGCCAUUUGGGAGGCACAUCAGUAGUGUUAUGGGGAGAGGUGCCAUUUGGGAGGCACAUCAGUAGUGUUAUGGGGAGAGGUGCCAUUUGGGAGGCACAUCAGUAGUGUUAUGGGGAGAGGUGCCAUUUGGGACUCAGUAGUGUUAUGGGGAGAGGUGCCAUUUGGGACUCAGUAGUGUUAUGGGGAGAGGUGCCAUUUGGGACUCAGUAGUGUUAUGGGGAGAGGUGCCAUUUGGGACUCAGUAGUGUUAUGGGGAGAGGUGCCAUUUGGGACUCAGUAGUGUUAUGGGGAGAGGUGCCAUUUGGGACUCAGUAGUGUUAUGGGGAGAGGUGCCAUUUGGGACUCAGUAGUGUUAUGGGGAGAGGUGCCAUUUGGGAGGCACAUCAGUAGUGUUAUGGGGAGAGGUGUAUAAUCACUGUGAUCAUGCUGGUCAUGUUGUAUACGGUCACUGCAGGACAGUUUGUUUUGUUGUUUUUGUUUAAUUUUCUGAAAGAUAUUUAGCAUUUAUUUAGGAUUGACAGAUUCAUGACACACACGUGCCUUUAUGUACAGAGAGCAGAUUCUACGGAGAACUUUCUUUUUGACUGUUUGAAACAGAGUGUAGUGAUGCAUGGCUGUUGCGGUUCGUUUGGUCUGUCAGAACUCAAUAAAUGUAUUUUCUGCUUUGA